rnacentral:rRNA from 1 species
CAGUCGCCACGGUAAUACGUAGGGUGCAAGCGUUAAUCGGAAUUACUGGGCGUAAAGCGUGCGUAGGCGGUGAGUUAAGUCUGCUGUGAAACCCCCGGGCUCAACCUGGGAAUGGCAGUGGAUACUGGCUCGCUAGAGUGUGUCAGAGGAUGGUGGAAUUCCCGGUGUAGCGGUGAAAUGCGUAGAGAUCGGAAGGAACAUCUGUGGCGAAGGCGACUAUCUGGGCCAACACUGACACUGAGGCACGAAAGCGUGGGGAGCAAACAGGAUUAGAUACCCCCGUAGUCCCUGUCUCUUAUAC